GGGAUGCCGGGGUGAGGGUGGACAAGACGGCUGGUAGAAGAAAAAAGUUUUUAAAAUACAUUUAGCUUUAUGUUCGCGGCAGUGGUGGCGCACGCCUUUAAUCCCAGCACUCGGGAGGCAGAGGCAGACUGAUUUCUGAGUUCGAUGCCAGCCUGGUCUACAGAUAUUGUUGUGAACAUCAGGGCAGCAGUUCUGUUCACCUGGAUUUAUAAACACCAAAACGUAGCAACAGCCAGUGUGCAAGUCACUGACAACCCAAGUCACCAAAAAUCUUACUGAGAACCCACAUGUCAUUAGCUCCUUGAAUUAAAGAUUAUUUUGUGAAAAGAGGCUUGAUCGUCUUGUUCUGCACCUGAAAUAAAGCAUUUCCCAUUCUGUUGUUUUAAAGUAUUAACUCUGUAACACUUGUGCAUAAUUUUGUUUUUAUAAUAAAGUAAGUAGUGAUACCAAAAUAUGGUACAA
rnacentral:lncRNA from 1 species